rnacentral:rRNA from 1 species
UACGAAGGGGGCUAGCGUUGCUCGGAAUCACUGGGCGUAAAGGGUGCGUAGGCGGGUCUUUAAGUCAGGGGUGAAAUCCUGGAGCUCAACUCCAGAACUGCCUUUGAUACUGAGGAUCUUGAGUUCGGGAGAGGUGAGUGGAACUGCGAGUGUAGAGGUGAAAUUCGUAGAUAUUGCAAGAACACCAGUGGCGAAGGCGGCUCACUGGUCCGGUACUGACGCUGAGGUGCGAAAGCGUGGGAGC